rnacentral:rRNA from 1 species
UUCCUGGGCCAUAAGAUGAGGUUAAAGUCGUAACAUCAGUUCUCGUUGGUGACAGCGGAGGGUCAUUACCGAGUUUACAACUCCCAAACCCAUGUGAACAUACCUACUUGCUUGCUAUCGGCGGGAUUGCCCCGGAGCGCCUCGUGUGCCCCGGAUCAGGCGCCCGCCUAGGAAACUUAAUUCUUGUUUUAUUUUGGAAUCUUCUGAGUAGUUUUUACAAAUAAAUAAAAACUUUCAACAACGGAUCUCUUGGUUCUGGCAUCGAUGAAGAACGCAGCGAAAUGCGAUAAGUAAUGUGAAUUGCAGAAUUCAGUGAAUCAUCGAAUCUUUGAACGCACAUUGCGCCCGCCAGUAUUCUGGCGGGCAUGCCUGUCUGAGCGUCAUUUCAACCCUCAUGCCCCUAGGGCGUGGUGUUGGGGAUCGGCCAAAGCCCGCGAGGGACGGCCGGCCCCUAAAUCUAGUGGCGGACCCGUCGUGGCCUCCUCUGCCAAGUAGUGAUAUUCCGCAUCGGAUAGCGACGAGCCCCUGCCGUUAAACCCCCAACUUUCCCAGGUUGACCUCAGAUCAAGUAGGAAUACCCCGCCUGAACUUAAGCUUAUCUUAUGGGGGAGGAAGGA